AUGCGGCGGUGUCGGGGCGCGGGGCUGGCGGCGCUGGCCGCGCUGCUGCUCGUGGCUUCAGGCAGAGCCCAGGUGCAGCAGGACCCAUUCCUGGAGACCACCGAGGGCACCAGCAUCAACGUCAACUGCUCACACCCCAGCAAAGUGAGCGGAGAUUACAUCCAUUUCUACCGUCAUCUCCCUGGCCAAAGCCCCGAAUUCCUGGCACUCGCUGCUAGAGGGUCCAAGGAUGUUCCGGCCAUCGCAGGAAAGCUGUGGGUGUCGGAGGACGGGCGUUGGAGCGCGCUGUGGCUCGGGCGGCCCCGGCGCGGGGACGCGGCCGUGUAUUACUGCGCGCUGGGCCACGGGCAGAGGAGCCGGGGCUGCGGCCGGGUUUCUCCAAACACCCUUGGAUGUGAGUUCAGCAUCUGCCUCAAACAGUAG